UGCUGGAAGGACUGAGUGUUCCUCGAUUGCAACUUUGAUUGAAACUUUGUUGCAAGCUGGGCGAGCAAGGAUUUUAGCUGCUAAAUUUUUCUUAUACUUGAAUUUCUAAAGUAAAAAAUUAU